GUCUCUUCCUCUCCUUUUAAUAAACCCUACCGAAAAAAUUCCUUCUUCUUCCUGUUGUCUUACGGCAAGAAACUAAACUUUCAAAGGAUUUUGUUGGGUUUAUGGUAACAAUGACGUUGAUAUCAGUUACCUGUCCAUUUAGUUUGUUUAAGGUUUUUCUAUUGAUUCUGAAUUUUUUCUUACUUAUUGUUUGAUGAGUGUAUUACUGUUGUUAACAGAAAUCAGAGAUUAUGAUGUAAGUAUUCGUGGUAGAUAAGGUAGAAGCUAUUCGUGAAACAAUAGGGUUUUAUGCCUCUAAGCUUUUAAUACUUCUUAGUUCGAGCUUUUCUUGCCUAGAAAUCCUUUGUGCAUUAUAAAAUUGGAUAUUGUUUUGGGCAUACAAUUGCCUUAUUGAUCAAUGAUUCGAUUUUUAAUCAGACCUACAUUUUUUUAUAUAUAUUUCUUUUGCUUAUUCAUGGUUGGUUCUCUGCUAUUACCUCCGUUUCUGGCUCAACUGCCUGCGUGGGAGGGAGAAGAGUUCAAGGCUGCCUAAUUAAGCAGCUUACAUGAUUUAUGAUUGGAGGAAGUGAUUUCAAAAUUACAUUGCAGGCUGUUCUUAGUGAGAUGCGGAAGGGGAAAUAAAAGCAUGAUGUCCAAGGAAAUAUGCUAGUUGGUGGCGGUAUCAUCCAGGGUAAGUUGAGUCAGCAGACACGUUGGGAUCGGGACGAGCGAGUGAGAUGGAUACACGUAAGGCAAGAUUCAUAUGUGAUAAGGUAACUCUUGGAAUUGAUUUGAUUUUCUUUGGCUCAGUAGCCAAAACAUGCUUAUAGCAAGGAAGUGAGAUGCAUUAACGGGUAAAUCUUGAAAUUUAGAUGGCUUCAAAAAAAAAACGAUUUUCAGUUCUUUGUGAUAUUAGUUUGUGUUGAUAUGAUCUGUGAUUUUGGCUUAUGUUAAUUUUGAUUUGCAGGGAGCCCUUUAGGUUUAGGUUUAGGUUUGAAGUGUAGCCAACAGUUAAAUGUAGAUAAUAUUUAUCAGAACCCUUCAGCAAUAAUAGUCUACGCAUGGAUACAUGAAAACUAAUAUGCAGGUCAGGUGUAAGGAGGACGGUAUGAACGUUGCUCACGGGGAUAUGUCUCUUUCCUUCAGUUUACCUACGGAUAGGGCGAGGCAGGAUUAAUCUCUGAUAGGUGGUGACUGUUGGUCCAUGGUGGUUCUUGCAAUCUAAAUAGUUAGUGCGUGGUUCAACCAAUAGCCAACAUACACUAGAAAUGGAUUAGUAAGACAAAGAUCAUCUUUCUAUUCUCUUUACCAUGGUUAAUUAUUUUACUUAUAUUGGAACUGAAUUGUAUGAAAAAAUCAUGUAAUUAAGCUUGAUCUCCAACUAUCCUCAUGUUGAAGGAUACCAAUGUGGUGUUGCCGUGUUGGUACUAUCUGAACAAAACAACGUAUAGUAUAUCUGGAUUUUUUUU